GCGAGUCGAGAGGGUUCGGCCCUCGGCAGACGGCUCAGUAACACGUGGAUAAUCUGCCCUUAGGUGGAGGAUAACCUCGGGAAACUGAGAAUAAUACUCCAUAGAUCUAGGAGGCUGGAAUGCGCCUAGAUUGAAAGCUCCGGCGCCUAAGGAUGAGUCUGCGGACUAUCAGGUUGUAGUUAGGGUAAAGGCCUGACUAGCCUACGACGGAUACGGGUUGUGAGAGCAAUAACCCGGAGACGAUAUCUGAGACACGAUAUCGGGCCCUACGGGGCGCAGCAGGCGCGAAAACUUCACACUGUGCGAAAGCACGAUGAGGGAAUCCCAAGUGCUUGCACGUAAGUGUAAGCUGUUUCUUUGUUUAAAAAGCAAGGAGAGGAAGGGCUGGGUAAGACGGGUGCCAGCCGCCGCGGUAAUACCUGCAGCUCGAGUGGUGACCGCUAUUAUUGGGCCUAAAACAUUCGUAGCCGGCUGAGUAAAUGCUUGGGUAAAUCGUGUAGCUUAACUAUACGAAUUCCGAGUAGACUGCUUAGCUUGAGACCGGGAGAAGCUAGAGGUACUCCUGGGGUAGAGGUGAAGUUCUGUAAUCCUGGGGGGACCACCAGUGGCGAAGGCGUCUAGCUAGAACGGGUCUGACGGUGAGGAAUGAAACCCUGGGUCGCAAACCGGAUUAGAUACCCGGGUAGUCCAGGGCGCAAACGCUGCUUGCUUGAUGUUAGUCGGGCUCCGAGCUCGACUAGUGU
rnacentral:rRNA from 1 species